UCGCCACUGCUCUCCUUUUCUUCGAAAAACAGAAGGAAGCUCAUAUAAUCUCCUCUUCGAAUGUUAAACAGAUAACUUUUAUUCAUCUUUUUCGAGUAAUUGCAUAUCUUAGAAAAAGAAAGUGUUGAGGUAGAAGAGUGUUUCUUAAGAAAUCCUGUUCUGAAAGCUGACCUUGAGAGGCUAGGGAUUUUCCAUAAUGUUCGCACUUUUCGAGAGGUCAUCAUCAGAUAUGAAAAAGAUGAGGAUGAGUUCUUCUUUGCUCAUAAUCUGAUGUGUUUGUUCCUCAUCGAUUUCCAAAACAAACUCCUUAUUGAAAAGGAAGUAGAUUCUUUAUCUACUUCCCUUUAUUUUUUUAAAAUCCCAUUAGCGUCUCUUUCUCUGAAGAGAAAAGAUGAAAACUUAUGCAUAUGCUGCGCUACUCAUCGUCUGUUUGUUCGAUAAUUGUAUUGCCAGAGGACUUAACUUGGGAUUAUGCGACAAUAAGCAAAUUUCUUGCAACUGCGGGCAAAACCAAAUACGAGCUAAAGUGAAACAGUGUUGCCCUUUUGACGUGCUUAACUUUGUGUGAGGGACAUCUUUUUAUGAAAGAGGAAUGUUGUUGGGUUUGAUGGCAUCACAAGGAGAAAAAAAUCUAGAAUAAUUUUUAAAUUUCUAGAAGAAUUUCUUUAUAUUCAAAAUUUCUGAAUAGCUUAAAUAUGAUUAAUUACAUAAUUCAAAUGACACAAAAUAGUUCGUUAAACUUGUAACUAAACGAAAUACAUGUCUCAAUUUUAUCUAUUCAUUAAUUAAUAAAGCAUAAAACAAUCUUGCC